UACACAUCAUGCACCCUUUACCCAGGUCUGCAUCUCCAUCAACAAUGACUCAACCAAGAGCCAGUUCUUUCUGAAGCUCAGCUCCAUGGCUGGCUAGGACACGGCUGAGUAUUACUGUGAAAGACUCAGUGAGGAGGUGUCCUUGUGAGCCCUGACACAAAACUUGCUGUCAGGGCACUGAGGACCGCCAGCAAGACUCAGGACCACAAGGGGGACUCAAGACCACCAGGGGAAGAGCAGGUUGCAGGAAGCACAGGGCCAGCCCCAGAGCAGGUGUGGGUGGAGAUGAGAGGCUGGUUUACUGCCAGGGUGUGGGGCUGCCUCUACAUCUACAUGUUUCCUCCAGGGACCCUCCCUUAUUUCAUGAUGCUGUGCCUAGCUCUACGUCUCUGAAAUACCACAGUUUUGUUGUACCAGGAGGAAACCUUCUUACAGGCACUAAAUGCAGAACAAUCCCUCUGCCAGUGGUCACCAGGGCCACAGCCCUGUGGAAGCUGAGUGGAACCCGGAAAUGAAUUUUCACAAGGUCUCAGGACACCAUUUUUCAAGUGCUUUAGUUAAAGAGACUGACUUCUUGGUGGGCAGGCCUCUUCUAACAAUGAGCUCACUUCUGCAAAGCAUUCAGUCUGUGGCUUUAUUGCCAUGAAUCAUGAAGCUUUCACACUCCGAUGCACUAAAAAUAAUGCCUCUUCAAUUAAAUAUCUAUUGGCAUUGCCAUGAAUUGGCCACUCUUGGAUAUGUGUCCUAUGUUAUGAGCCCAACAUGUCAGUGGACUGAGAAUCCUCUAUUAGCUACCUCUGUGUGUAGCACUGAGCAGACUAACAAUCCUCAGAGUCAUCUAACAAGGAGAGUCCUGAGGUUCAUGGGAUUCUUGGAGACAUUCAGGCUUUGAGCUAUGAAAUCGUCUGUCUCAUGAAUAUGCAAAUAACCUGAGAUGCACUGAGGUAAAUAUGGAUGUGUCUGUGCCCUAAGCGCAUCAUCCAACAACCACAUGCCUCUUCUGCAGAAUCUCCUUAGAGCUCAGUGCCUCACCGUGGACUGGACCUGGAGGAACAUCUUGGUGGCAGCAGCUACAGGUGCGCACUCUCAGGACCAGUUGGUGCAGUCUGGGGCUGAGGUGAAGAAGCCUCUGUCCUCAGUGAAGGUCUCCUUCAAGGCUUCUGGAUACACCUUCACCAACAACUUUAUGCACUGGGUGUGACAGGCCCCUGGACAAGGACUUGAGUGGAUGGGAUGGAUCAAUGCUGGCAAUGGUAACACAACAUAUGCACAGAAGUUCCAGGGCAGAGUCACCAUAACCAGGGACACGUCCAUGAGCACAGCCUACACGGAGCUGAGCAGCCUGAGAUCUGAGGACAUGGCCGUGUAUUACUGUGCGAGAGACACAGAGUGAAAACCCACAUCCUGAGAGUGUCAGAAACCCCAGGGAGGAGGCAGCUGUGCUGGCAUGGAGGAGAUGACAAAGAUUAUUAGAUUGAAGACUUUCUCAGAAAAUAACAUUAAGUCACUAAAGAAAAGGAACAAUAUAAAUGUGUAUUUGAGAAAUUUUAAUUAUUUGAAAGAUUUUUCAUACAACAUUUAUUCUGUAAGCAAAUUUCAGGGAUUGAAUUAAUAAAACUGAUACAGAA
rnacentral:lncRNA from 1 species